AACUUACAGUUUAAUUAUCCUCAACCAUACUUAACAAAGUAUUUUCACAUAUAUUCCAUUCCAUAUAUUUCUCAACACAUCAUUCUCAAUUAAACUUACUAUUUAGUUAUCCUCAACCAUACUUAACAAAGUAUAUUCACAUACAACUCAUUUCCACAUCACUUAAUCCAUCAUUCACAAUCAAAUUCACAACUUUCUUCAUGGCAACAUUGAUUACCGAAACUUAGGUAACUCAAACAGCUUGGAGACCAUCACCAAUGGUUCCGGAAGAGUCAAAAUCCUCCAGAACGACCUAAAGAACGUCCAAAACGGACAUCCAGAACCCCCAAAACCUCCAAAAACAAAUUCAGCAAAGUGUUGGUGCAUCCAGUUGCGCUGGAGCGCGACCAGGGGCGCUCGGGCGCCAUGACAGCGACCAUAUUCGGGUUUUCCACCCAGAUUCGUCCAGAUUUGAUUUCUAGCACAUAUUCAACACUUCUAACAUGUUCUCAAACAUAUUUGGAGUCUAAAAUCACUCCACAAACAACAACAAACAUCAACUAAUCCAUUUACUCAUACAAAACCAACUCUUUAAUUGGAUAACAUAACAUUUUCAUGCAUAAUUUCAAACAACUUUCAACUA
rnacentral:lncRNA from 1 species